CCGCACUGCCAAGUGAUUGGACGGCCUCCUCCGUGGUCGUCCAAUCUCAUUCCGGUGCCAGAUCAACCUCAGCUUGCAGAAGGGUUGAGUCGACCCGUGGCCCCCCCCUUUCGAAGGCUGAGCACAGAC
ensembl:snoRNA